rnacentral:rRNA from 1 species
AUCAGUCGUGAGGUAUCCGUAAGCUCCCGGGGGUAAUUCAAGGAGGGUACCCAAAACCCCCCGGGAUGACUGCCCAAGGGGGGACAAAAAAAAUAUAGCUCGUGCAAACGGAAGCUAAUACGGCCAAACGUCCCAAAACCAAAGAGGGGGACCUUCCGGCCUCUUGCCAUCAGAUGUGCCCAGAUGGGAUUAGCUAGUGGGGGGGGUAAUGGCUCCCCCAGGCCACCAUCCCUAGUUGGUCUGAAAGGAUGACCAGCCACACUGGAACUGAAAACCGGUCCAAACCCCUACGGGAGGAAACAGUGGGGAAUAUUGCACAAUGGGCCCAAGCCUGAUGCUGCCAUGCCGGGUGUGUGAAGAAGGCCUUCGGGUUGUAAAGCCCUUUCAGCGAGGAGGAAGGUGGUGACAUUAAUUCCUUUCUUUUUGACGUUACUCGCAAAAAAAGCUAUCCCUAACUCCGUGCCACCGGCCGCGGUAAUACGGAGGGGGCUGUCCUCAUUCGUAAUUACUGGGCUAAAACCGCACCCCGGCGGUUUGUAUAGUCAUAUGUGAAAUCCCCGGGCUCAAACCGUGAACUGCAUUUGAAACUGGCAACUUAGAGUCUCGUAAAGGGGGGUAGAAUUCCGGGUGUAUCGCUGAAAUGCAUAGAGAUCUGGAGGAAUACCUGGGCCAAGGAGGCCCCCUGCACGAAGACUCACGCUCUGGUGUCAACUCGUGGGGAGCAAAAAUGAUUAGAUACCCUGGUAUUCUUCUCUGUAAAGGAUUUCAAUUUUGAAGGUGUGCCUUUGAGGCGUGGCUUCCCGAGCCAACACACUAACUCCACCCCCUGGGGAGUACGGCCGCAAGGUCUAAGACUCAAUGAAUCGACCGGCGCCUCCUCACAAACGUGAGAGCAUGUGGUUUAUUUAUGAUGCUACCCGCAGUACUCCUU